GGUGAGUACUGCUUCGGCCGGGUCUUUCCUUCUGGCUAGCCAUUUGGCGAACCAGACGAUUACUUUGAGGAAAUUAGAGUGUUCAAAGCAGGCCUUUGCUCGGAUAUAUUAGCAUGGAAUAUAGAUAGACGUAUGGGUUCUAUUUGUUGGUUUCUAGACCAUCGUAUGAUUAUAGGGACGGUCGGGGGCAUCAGUAUUCAGUUGUCAGAGGUGAAAUUCUUGGAUUAACUGAAGACUAACUACUGCGAAAGCAUUUGCCAAGGACGUUUUCAUUAAUCAAGAACGAAAGUUAGGGGAUCGAAGAUGAUCAGAUACCGUCGUAGUCUUAACCAUAAACUAUGCCGACUAGGGAUCGGGUGGCGCUAUUUUGCCCACUCGGCACCUUACGAGAAAUCAAAGUUUUUGGGUUCUGGGGGGAGUAUGGUCGCAAGGCUGAAACUUAAAGGAAUUGACGGAAGGGCACCACCAGGAGUGGAGCCUGCGGCUUAAUUUGACUCAACACGGGGAAACUCACCAGGUCCAGACGUAAUAAGGAUUGACAAGUUAGAGACUUCUCUUGAUCUUACGGGUGGUGGUGCAUGGCCGUUUUUAGUCCUUGGAGUGAUUUGUCUGCUUAAUUGCGAUAACGGACGAGACCUUAACCUGCUAAAUAGGGCUGCGAGCAUCUGCUCGUGGGCUCUUCUUAGAGGGACUAUGGG
rnacentral:rRNA from 1 species